rnacentral:rRNA from 1 species
UACGGGGGGAGCAAGCGUUGUUCGGAUUUACUGGGCGUAAAGGGCGCGUAGGCGGUCGUGACAAGUCACUUGUGAAAUCUCCGGGCUUAACUCGGAACGGUCAAGUGAUACUGUCGGACUAGAGUACAGAAGGGGCAACUGGAAUUCUCGGUGUAGCGGUGAAAUGCGUAGAUAUCGAGAGGAACACCUGCGGCGAAGGCGGCUCGCUGGACAGUUACUGACACUCAACUACGAAAGCGUGGGGAGCAAACAGG